AGCUUUGCGCAGUGGCAGUAUCGUAGCCAAUGAGGUUUAUCCGAGGCGCGAUUAUUGCUAACUGGAAACUUUUCCUGAUACCUCGCCAUGAUGACUUGAAAUAUAGUCAGAGUUGGCAAUUUUUGGCAGUCUCUACGUAGA
ensembl:snRNA U4 U4 spliceosomal RNA